GGCGGGGCUAUUUUCACACCCCAAAACGUCACAGUUACGUUGCAGGAAACGAGUUUCUACAGCUACCCUCCCCCACAUCACACUCGCUGACCAUCAAUUAGGAAACGCGCGCUUUGCUACCUGCACAAAAGGAAGGCGUUGAGAAGAGUGAGCGUACGAGUCAGCAUCAUCGAGAAAACCCCAGAAAGUGACAAAUACUUCAGAAUUAAAGCAGAUGGACAAUCCCACUGAAGAUGGUGAUUAUUCUGACUCAAGUCUUUUUGGAUCAGAUGAGGAAUACAAACCAACUAAGACAUCCUCUGAGUCGAGUGAUGACGAGGAGAUAUUCCAUCCAAAGGUAGAAAAAUUGUUCUUAUGAUACAUCCAGUGAAGACUCUACAAGUCAUCAGACAUAUGAAGCAGAGGAGCACAGUCAUGUCUGCAAUUCGUAAAGAAGCCCCAAAAAGGGAAAAGCAUCUCUCCAAAAGAGGGAAGACUGAAUUGGAUGAUUCGAGUCCAGGCGGGGACCCUGGCGGUCCGAUCCUUGGCUGCAGAAGCUAGCUCUUGGGACAUGGAAUGUCACCUCUCUGGCAGGGAAGGAGCC